UGGGACGCUACCGUCCCACAUAUUCCUCUCUGGGGUAACUUCUUGUUAAUCCAACCGCGUUAGAUUUCAAAAAGGCUUUAUGGCGAAAGCAUACCAUGUGAUUAUCUGAGGACAGCACCCCACACAAAUACUUUUCCAAACCAGCACAGGCAUCACAAACACAAAUAGCGAUAAAAUAAAUCACUUACCUUUGAAGAUCUUCCUCUGUUUGCAAUCCCAAGGGUCCCAGCUACACAACAAAAUGGUAGUUUUUGUUCGAUAAAGUCCUUUAUAUCCCAAAAAUGUCAGUUUUAGUUGGCACGCUUGAUUCAGUAAUCCACUCGUUCAACAUGCAUACAAACGAAUCUGAAAAGAUGCCAGUAAAGUUUGUCCAAACAAGUCAAACAAUGUUUCUAACUAAUCCUCAGGUACUCUAAUAUCUAAAUAAACAAUAACAUUUAAGAUGGAGAAUAGUAUAUUCAAUAGGGAAGAUAAUGAAGAGCGCGCAACAUUGACGCGCACAAGAAGACUACUUUUCUAAUGAGCGACACCUUGGAAAAACUACAACUACUCGUUUGUUUUUCAAAAAAACAAGCCUGAAACCCUUUCUAAAGACUUGACAUCUAGUGGAAGCCAUAGGAACUGCAGUCUGGGAGGAAUUAUUUUGAAUAUCUCAUUGGCUUGCAUUGAAAUGGCCGUGACCUCAAAUUUUCCGGAUGGAUUCUCGUCGGGAGUCCUGGGGGGUCAGAGUCCAGGGCCUGAACUGUUCAUAGCUGGAGGGAUUGUAGCACCCUGAAGGACUGGUAAACAGGUUAGACAACACUGCUGCACUGGUAAAGUCCACAUAGGUAAAGACAAUACUGCUACACAGGUAAAGACAAUACAUUCUCAGAUUUGUGAUUUGAAUGUGCUGACUCUGUAGACAUGUCUAUGUAGAUCUAGGGGACAUAUAAAGGCUCUGCGUCACAUUACUGUGUGAUUCGUAGUGUUAGAACUGCUUAAAACAUGUCUUAUUAUAUGUUAAUGCUGUAUAUCCAGCAGUGCGUAAUGAUGUCUCUCUGCAGAGCAAGGCUCAUCUGUACUGGCUGUGGUCCUGCCCAUCAUCUUGAUUCUACUUGUGUUGGUAUUCUUUCUAUCAUUCAUGUUGUGGCAUCGCAUGAUAGGCAAGAAAGGUAACACCAUCCUCUGUCAAACAUCCUAUAGAUCAGAUUCAGAAAUGUGUAAGAGGCGUAGUUCAAUAUUCCAAGAGGUGAAAACUCUUCAUUCUUAUGAUCUGGGUAGACCAGAGUCAAUCCAUCUCAAGUGUGCAUAAUCCCAGUGACACCAGUUGAUUUGCUACAAGGUGGUAGACCUUGAAUCAGAGACAAAGUAUCAACUGAAGAGGGGAGAAAAGAGAGCAAUACAGAACAAAAGUCUAUCUUUCUGGUAAGAGGGAUAAAGCCUACAAUUUAUAGAAAGUUGCUGUCCCUUAUUCUCAUAAUGAUCACUGCCACUCCCCUUUGUAUAAUCCUGUCCUUUAUUCCUCUCUUAUUUUCCAUUGUGUUGUGGAUGACCUGUAGCUACAUAGAGAAGGUCUGAUGUGGAGAGUCAACUGGAAGAAGCAACUCAUUCUUCAGGAGAUAGAAAUCAUCCUGACCAGUUCACAAAGACCCCAGAGGUUCCUCCGGUGUCAGAGAAAGUGCUAGAAGAGGACAGGUCUGAGAACCAGGACAGAGGAGACACACCUUAACUGGACCAGAACCUCCAGAGGACAAACUACCAUGACCCGCAGAGCGAACAAGAGGAAGAAGAAAUACUAGACCUGCACAUGAAGCCCAACAAGGAGAGACACUAGGACCUGUACACAGUAGACCACAAAUACAAGAACCAGACAAAUCAACACAUGCAGGAGUCCAGCCAGGAGAUUCAGUCAGGGGAACCAGCCAGGGGAGUAAAGAGAGAAUAAUUAUGUGGAAGAAUAAGAGGAAGUAAUAAAGAGACAGACGAGGAGAAAUGGGAACAAAAUACAGAGGGGGACAUGAACGAGAGAUGAAGGACAGGAGUAGAAGGAAUCAGACACAGAGAAUGAAGGAGUUGAUACCAACCAAACAUCCACCCAGAAUGAUGAGAUGGAUGAGACGCAUAUAAUAAACCCCAAUGAGCAGCACAUUGCCCAGACUACACUACAGAGACAGUCCUGUGAAUCACCAGCAUCCCCAGAUAGCAAAGAAAAAAUAAAGGACAUGAGUCACCCAUCCCAGACCCCAAUGAGCAGCACAUUACCCAUAAUACACCACAGAGGCUGUCCAGUGACUCCGCAGAAGACCCAGAAAGAAUUGAUGACACACCCGCCCCAGACCCCAAGGAGCAGCACAUUAUCCACAGUCCGCUACAGGCGCAGUCCAGUGACUCCCUUUGAUGACCGCCAAGAGAAGGGGCACAGAGAAAGUAAAAAUAAAUGCAUCCUUCAGUAAUUUGCAAUUCACUUGUAUUGAAGAUUAUCCACAAACUGUAACACUUCUUUGUACCAGUAGGGGUCAGUGUUCUUUAGCGUUUCCAUCUACUACUUCCUUUGCAGGGUCCAUUUUUUUAUUUCAGUGUGGUAAGACUGUUUUUGUGACAGUUGUUGUGAAUACAUACAUUACAACAAAAAUAUACAAAUAUGUAUGUUUGUGAUGGUGAUCCUGUUUUGAGCUGUGGCAAAUUUCUUUAUAAACCAAUGGCAAAUUUGACUGUUUAUUUUAGAGAGGUUUUCCACAGCUUAUUACACUUACAUAUAGUAAUUUAGCAGACGCUCUUAUCCAGAGAGACUUACUUUCGACACAUGUACUUAUUGUAAGUGAAUCAACUAUGCAUCAGUCAUCGCAAGUAAGACACAAUCAGAUGAACAACAGCUGCUCAAUGAUUAUGACCCCUUGAAGAUACAGCCAGUUCAUUGUUGGUUCACUAAUUGAUUUUGCCUUGCAGAUAAUGCAUUUUUGUUUGAGUUUCAUACCAAAUACUCAUACUGACACAGUACUUUCUUAGUCUAGUAUUUACUUAGCAUGAUAAUUCACCUUCCUAAUCCACAGAUUGGCUCCUACAAACAAUACACAAAGACAAACUGCAUCUCAGUAGCUAAUGAAAAGAAUACUCAGCGCACAAAAAAGAACAAGAGAACAAGCUAAUCCUAAACCAAAUGCCAGGCUGGUCUAGAUUUCCAAAGGGAAUAGGUAUCUUUAUCGGUCAGACCUGGUUAGUUUAACCCCAGAGUCAGAGAGGGGCCUCUGAUCUGCUACCAGCUGACCUGUGGGUCCAGAGCACCAGAGGAGAAUGAACACUAUCGGUUUCUGUGGUCACAACAAAUACCAGGGGAAUAUUAAUAUAUUGAAUUAUUCUGGAGGCGCGGAGGUGGGCGGGUAUGGGAAUAAUAAUGCAGUUCCUCAGAGAUGGUGUUGAUGUCUUGCUGGCAGUAGGAGAGCUCUGGUCCUGUUCUCCUUCUACUGGCUGGGAUUGUAGGUUCAACUCCCUAUGCCUCCCUUUCUGCAUCCAACCUCUUACUUUAACACUCAUUGUUUCAGGGUUACAUUUACAUUUACAUUUUAGUCAUUUAGCAGACGCUCUUAUCCAGAGCGACUUACAGUAGUGAAUGCAUACAUUUCAUACAUUUUCUUCACAUCAUGGAGGUACACAUCUUUUGCAUUUCAGUAGUUCUGUCAAAGUUGUUUGGAGUUUUUCCAGUUUAUAGAGCUCACCAGCUUGUAGUCCUAAAAACCGAAAAUGAGUUACCUCUGGUUCGUUCAGCCCUUCCUAUGGGAAAAAUGAGUUACCUCUGGUUCGUUCAACCCUUCCUAUGGGAAAAAUGAGUUAUUUUUAUAUUUUUCAGUUGUAACAGUCAGGGUUGAUGCCUGACUGUUACCACUGGCAUUAACAGUCGUUGAUUCUCAUAAAUACGACCCCCUGGGACAAAGGACCGAGCGAUCCAUGAGGUCACAAUAUACUGACAUGAUUUUCUAGUCUAAAAAGUAACAUUUUUGAAAAAUCACAUUCAAGACAUAACAGCAGUGUGGUCAACAAAACCCAUUUCUGCCUUUUCUAUGUGAGUGCCCAUUUCCUGUUGGAGCCUAAUGUUCUCCUAGACAGGGGCCCAAUUUAAGUUUACACUUUAGAUUGUUUGGGUCUAGUUUGGCUCCUCUUCUACUUGAAAGAGACAGAGAGAGUGUGAGAGAGAGAGAGAGAGAGAGAGAGAGACACCCUUGAUUAGCAUGCUGGGUUGUUUAAAUUGCCUCCUGGAGUGCCGAGGUAGAAUCGAACAAUAUCCUCUGGCUUUAGACUCCAUAGCCCAAUGGCCCCAUAGCUUGUCAUUUAUUUGAAUGCAUCAGGAUUAAGAUAGAGAGGCCUACCUGGCACCACUCCACUGGGGAAGCUGGCUCGCUGGCUGCUGAGCCCAAGGCGGACAGAUCCUAGUGGCUUAUGAUGAAUCAAUUCAUAUCAGUUCAAUAAAAGUGGCUGGAUGAAUGCCUCUUUUUGUGCCACGGUUUAUAGUGAUAGAACAAACUCUGUGCCCAUGGUCAUUAUGUGAAUGUAUAAUUUAGCAUGGCCAAGACACCAUAAUUCAAUAUUAAAUGAGACUCCUUUGCAAUUAUUGUCUCGGACCUCAAUUCAGGCCUGGUUUAUCUCCAGAUCCCCUUUUAAUUGGAAUACCAGGAGUGACUAAGAGGUAAUUGUUCAGCGGAAUUGUUAUCACUUCGUAUUGACUGCGUCUGUCUUCCAGGAUGCUGUGGAGGUUUAUUACUGUACCAGGCCUAAUCUGUAAACUCCAUUCUGCUGCUAACAUUUGGUCAUCAUGCAACAUUUAAGAGGGCCCAAGGCACACACACUUAAGUAUCCAGGGCAAUAAGAAAUAUUGUGUACUUUCCUGUCCACCAGGAGAGGAGAGGCACAGACAGUGUUGGUGUUAUUUGCGAUUCUAUGCUUUUGCUUUUGCUUUUACAGGUUAGGCCACUUCCUUUAGGAUGCAUUAAUAAAAUCCUUGAAAACCG